AGAAGAAGACAUUGGAAAAGAAAGGUCAUUUUGUAUUUGAGGCAUUGUUCCACUGCAGUCGGUACAGUUUGUGUUAGAAAGAAGGCGAGUUGUUGUUGCCUGUCUCUCAUUUAGGCGUCUUUCCAACAACAGUACUUCUUUUGGAGUCAUUGCUAAAGAAUAAUCUUUUUUACUGCGUUUGGUAUUGUCAUCAUGAUCUUCUGUUGCAAAGUGACGCCCUCUUUUUGAUUUUUGAAGAUUCAUUGAUAUGAUUUCUUCACAGUUAUUCCAGGAAAUGACCUUUUUUACCCUGAACUAUG
rnacentral:lncRNA from 1 species